CAGCAGCCGCGGGAAUACGAAGGGUGCAAGCGUUAAUCGGAAUUACUGGGCGUAAAGCGUGCGUAGGCGGUUUGUUAAGUCUGCUGUGAAAUCCCCGGGCUCAACCUGGGAAUGGCAGUGGAUACUGGCAAGCUAGAGUGUGUCAGAGGAUGGUGGAAUUCCCGGUGUAGCGGUGAAAUGCGUAGAGAUCGGGAGGAACAUCAGUGGCGAAGGCGGCCAUCUGGGACAACACUGACGCUGAGGCACGAAAACGUGGGGAGCAAACAGGAUUAGAUACCCCUGUAGUCCCUGUCUCUUAUAC
rnacentral:rRNA from 1 species